rnacentral:rRNA from 1 species
GAUGAACGCUGGCGGCGUGCCUAAUACAUGCAAGUCGAGCGAACGGACGAGAAGCUUGCUUCUCUGAUGUUAGCGGCGGACGGGUGAGUAACACGUGGAUAGCCUACCUAUAAGACUGGGAUAACUUCGGGAAACCGGAGCUAAUACCGGAUGAUAUUUUGAACCGCAUGGUUCAAAAGUGAAAGACGGUCUUGCUUUCACUUAUAGAUGGAUCCGCGCUGCAUUAGCUAGUUGGUAAGGUAACGGCUUACCAAGGCAACGAUGCAUAGCCGACCUGAGAGGGUGAUCGGCCACACUGGAACUGAGACACGGUCCAGACUCCUACGGGAGGCAGCAGUAGGGAAUCUUCCGCAAGGGGCGAAAGCCUGACGGAGCAACGCCGCGUGAGUGAUGAAGGUCUUCGGAUCGUAAAACUCUGUUAUUAGGGAAGAACAUAUGUGUAAGUAACUGUGCACAUCUUGACGGUACCUAAUCAGAAAGCCACGGCUAACUACGUG